rnacentral:tRNA from 1 species
UCCUCAAUAGCUCAAAGGUAGAGCAAAUAGCUGUUAACUAUUUUGUUAGAAGUUCAAGUCUUCUUUGGGGAG